AUUGAACGCUGGCGGCAGGCCUAACACACGCAAGUCGAGCGGAUGACGGGAGCUUGCUCCUUGAUUCAGCGGCGGACGGGUGAGUAAUGCCUAGGAAUCUGCCUGGUAGUGGGGGACAACGUUUCGAAAGGAACGCUAAUACCGCAUACGUCCUACGGGAGAAAGCAGGGGACCUUCGGGCCUUGCGCUAUCAGAUGAGCCUAGGUCGGAUUAGCUAGUUGGUGGGGUAAUGGCUCACCAAGGCGACGAUCCGUAACUGGUCUGAGAGGAUGAUCAGUCACACUGGAACUGAGACACGGUCCAGACUCCUACGGGAGGCAGCAGUGGGGAAUAUUGGACAAUGGGCGAAAGCCUGAUCCAGCCAUGCCGCGUGUGUGAAGAAGGUCUUCAGAUUGUAAAGCACUUUAAGUUGGGAGGAAGGGCAGUAAGCUAAUACCUUGCUGUUUUGACGUUACCGACAGAAUAAGCACCGGCUAACUCUGUGCCAGCCGCCGCCGUAA
rnacentral:rRNA from 1 species